CCAUGCCGCGUGUGUGAAGAAGGCCUUUUGGUUGUAAAGCACUUUAAGCAGUGAAGAAGACCAUAUGGUUAAUACCCAUAUGCGAUGACAUUAGCUGCAGAAUAAGCACCGGCUAACUCUGUGCCAGCAGCCGCGGUAAUACAGAGGGUGCAAGCGUUAAUCGGAAUUACUGGGCGUAAAGCGAGCGUAGGUGGCUUGAUAAGUCAGAUGUGAAAUCCCCGGGCUUAACCUGGGAACUGCAUCUGAUACUGUCAGGCUAGAAUAGGUGAGAGGAAGGUAGAAUUCCAGGUGUAGCGGUGAAAUGCGUAGAGAUCUGGAGGAAUACCGAUGGCGAAGGCAGCCUUCUGGCAUCAUAUUGACACUGAGGUUCGAAAGCGUGGGUAGCAAACAGGAUUAGAUACCCUGGUAGUCCACGCCGUAAACGAUGUCUACUAGUCGUUGGGUCCCUUGAGGACUUAGUGACGCAGCUAACGCAAUAAGUAGACCGCCUGGGGAGUACGGCCGCAAGGUUAAAACUCAAAUGAAUUGACGGGGGCCCGCACAAGCGGUGGAGCAUGUGGUUUAAUUCGAUGCAACGCGAAGAACCUUACCUGGUCUUGACAUAUCUAGAAUCCUGCAGAGAUGCGGGAGUGCCUUCGGGAAUUAGAAUACAGGUGCUGCAUGGCUGUCGUCAGCUCGUGUCGUGAGAUGUUGGGUUAAGUCCCGCAACGAGCGCAACCCUUGUCCUUAGUUACCAGCGGGUUAAGCCGGGAACUCUAAGGAUACUGCCAGUGACAAACUGGAGGAAGGCGGGGACGACGUCAAGUCAUCAUGGCCCUUACGACCAGGGCUACACACGUGCUACAAUGGUAGGUACAGAGGGCAGCUACACAGCGA
rnacentral:rRNA from 1 species